rnacentral:ncRNA from 1 species
AGAACCUGCCCUUGGGAGGGGAACAAAAACUGGAAACGGUUGCUAAUACCCCGUAGGCUGAGGAGCAAAAGGAGAAAUCCGCCCAAGGAGGGGCUCGCGUCUGAUUAGCUAGUUGGUGAGGCAAUAGCUUACCAAGGCGAUGAUCAGUAGCUGGUCCGAGAGGUUGAUCAGCCACACUGGGACUGAGACACGGCCCAGACUCCUACGGGAGGCAGCAGUGGGGAAUUUUCCGCAAUGGGCGAAAGCCUGACGGAGCAAUGCCGCGUGGAGGUGGAAGGCCUACGGGUCGUCAACUUCUUUUCUCGGA